rnacentral:misc_RNA from 1 species
CCGCGAGCUCGCGUCAGGAAAAGCUUCGCGUUCGUCGUCGAUCUCGUGCAUGUCGCGCGAACAUUGCAAUUAUCUGCCCAUUACGCGAAAGUUAAAUGUACAAUCGGUUAAAAAAAGAAUAGACUAAUUGAGUUACUCGCGCGAUGUUUGAACGCGAGAAUUAUUGAGACCGCAGUUUUGUGUUUUUUUCUUUUCGUGCCUCGUGAAAAUGCACGAAAUUGGACUCGUGGUGUAAGCUUGUGAAGUGUGGCAUAAGAAACGACGUACUUAAAAUAGAAAAAAAUUACUGCGCUUCCAGCCAAUCAUUAACUUGUCAAUUGCGCUUGCGAAUUUCCGGAUAAAAUUUUAUUUACACAAAAUUUCUUAAUUUGCGUAAGAAAUUACUACUUUUUGUGUCGGAUAAAGUUUUUACGCAAUAAAGACUCACGUCGUAGUGACAAUUUUAAGAACUUUGGGAAGAAUAGUUUUAUUGUGCGGGAAAAUAAACAAAGGUGAUGAUUUCGAAAAUUGCAAGAAAAUAAUUUAUACGUUGAUUAUGCAAAGUCGGAUCAAGAACAGUAAUUGAGAACUCUCUGAGUGCCGUACUGUAUUUUGAAUUAUGCGCACGUCCAACGGCUAAAGUCGCUCGAACUACUUGUCUGCUUUGACGCCGGGAGGAAGGCAAGGAGAUUGCGAUUACAUUUCCUUUACGCCUAAAAAAUGAACCAAAGUGAAAGAAACGCUGUGAAGCACGGUCCUAAGGGUAUAACCCCGCCGCCGCCGCCGCCGCCGCCGCCACCGCCACCUCCUCUGCCGAAGCUUCCGGCUUUCUCGCACCAAAAACUCUUCAAGAAAUGCAAGAGUGCCACGUUUCAACUGGAUGGCGCGACAUAUACGAUAGACGAACAUGAGAUCAACUCCGCUGCUGCGCAUCGUGCCGUUGCAUCUCCGCCGGACAGACGAGUCACAAGAGACGAUAUUGGAGUGGCCUCAGCCGGCGUAGCAGCGAACGCGAGCAACGCGGCUGCUACCGGCUGCAGCGGCGCGAGCGGCAUGGCGUCCUCGAGGCCGCGCAAUCCAUCCUCCUCUCCCGGUCGUAACGGCCAACUCGCCAAACAGGGCACUUUGACGAUAGUACGCCGAAGCUCCGGCAAAAGCAAAACUGUCAGUGGUGGGAGUUUCGAAAGUUCCCCACCGCCGCACAAUCCCGACACCCCGUCGUAUUUAUCGAGCCAAUCCGUCGACCUCGAUGAGAUCCUCGAUAAUGUCGAUCUCACGACGGACUCGCUUCCUGCCGUUGACACCCCCGACGCGUGCGACAAAGCUGCCCUCAGAUUGAGGUGUUUAUUGAGGCAGCUCCAACACGGGGAGAUAUCCGCGGAACUACUCCAACGAAACUUGCAUUAUGCAGCUCGCGUACUCGAGGCUGUUUUCAUCGAUGAGACCAAGGUGAGUUCAGGCGGGAAUGAGUGCGCUCGGUCAUCACGUAGGGGGGCGGGCCUGACGUCUUCAUCCCUAGGGGGCGGCUUGGACCCGGACGGACCACAGGGCCACGCGGUGGUAACCCAGAAACGGAAGCUUCGCACCCCCGUAUGGGCAAGACGACUUGCGGACGAAGACGACGAGCUGUCGGAGGUGCAACCGGAUGCGGUUCCGCCGGAAGUGCGCGAGUGGUUGGCGUCGACUUUUACCAGGCAGCUCGCCACCACCAGGCGGAAGGCCGACGAGAAGCCAAAAUUCCGCUCGGUCGCGCACGCCAUCCGAGCGGGCAUAUUCGUCGAUCGGAUCUACAGGAGGGUCACGAAUACCGCCCUCAUGCAAUUUCCGCCGGAAGUCGUGAAAGUGCUUAAGACUUUAGACGACUGGUCGUUCGACUUGUUUUCCUUGAACGAGGCCGCUUUGGGCACGCCGGUGAAAUACCUAGGCUAUGAUCUCCUGAAUCGAUACGGUAUGAUUCACAAGUUUAAAGUACCUCCCGCAGUUUUGGAGUGCUUCCUCGGAAGAGUCGAGGAAGGUUAUUGCAGGCAUCGAAAUCCAUACCAUAACAACCUUCACGCUGCCGAUGUUGCGCAAACGAUGCAUUACAUCCUGUGUCAAACAGGCUUGAUGAAUUGGCUGACCGAUCUCGAGAUUUUCGCCACUCUUGUGGCAGCGCUUAUUCACGAUUACGAGCACACUGGGACCACAAACAAUUUCCACGUAAUGUCCGGUAGCGAUACAGCGCUCCUAUACAAUGAUCGAGCCGUAUUGGAAAAUCAUCACAUUUCGGCCAGUUUCCGGAUACUCAGAGAAGAUGAUUGCAACAUAUUGCAAAACUUAUCGAGGGAAGAAUUUCGAGAAUUCCGAUCGCUUGUGAUUGACAUGGUUCUUGCUACCGACAUGAGUUUUCACUUUCAACAGUUAAAGAACAUGAAGAAUCUGCUAACUCUGGCGGAGCCAAGUGUGGACAAGAGUAAAGCCGUCAGUUUGGUUCUUCACUGUUGCGACAUUUCACAUCCCGCUAAAAGAUGGGAUCUCCAUCACAAAUGGACGAUGCAACUUCUCGAAGAGUUCUUCAGACAAGGCGACAAAGAAAGAGAACUCGGAUUGCCAUUUUCUCCCUUAUGCGAUCGCAAUAAUACAUUGGUAGCUGAAUCUCAAAUAGGAUUCAUAGAGUUCAUUGUCGAGCCUAGCAUGCAAGUAUGCAGCGACAUGCUGGAAACCGUUCUCGCGCCACUCAAUGUCAAGGAUACCGCGCCGGAGGAGCCCAGCAACGGUUCGGGAGGGGAAAAUAGAAGGUUUAAAAUUGGCAAACCUUGGAUUGCGUGUCUCGCGGAGAAUAAGAAGAUCUGGAAGGAGCAGGCGGUUCGAGAUGCCGAAGCCAAAGCACAAAAAGAGGAAGAGCAGAAAGCUAGCGGUAAUCACGAGGAUGGCGGAGGUGUGCAAGCUCCAGCCGAAGAAUGAAAAAUACAACGAGCGAUUGUAUUUUUCAAGAGUAUCUGUAGUUUUAGGCUACGGAAAAGCUCGUGAUUGCAUUGAAAUGGCAUCUAUCAGAAAUUCACAGACUCUUUAUUACGCUUACGAGAGAGAAUGAGAGCCAAGCAUCAUUCGGUAGUACAAAUAGAAGUAUAUAUGUCGUACAUAUAUUAGAUGAAUGGAGAUCCGUAACAUAUAGUAAGGAGGAUUAAUUUGUUUAGAUUAACACCAAAGGCCCGAAUCACAUACUUGUUCUGCUACUCACGUAGAAUAUUCGUAAAAAUAUCUUAACUAAUUAUUUUCUACAGCUCAAUAUGUAAUAUCACUUGAUGAUCUCAUUAAUUACAGCUCUUCACGACUUAAUCACCGCCGAUGUUAUAAUGGUUGGACAUUUUUUUCAGAAACGAAAAGAAAGAGUCUUCGCGAAUAACUGCGGCUUGAUGCUUUUCCGACACGGGUUUUGCAAACGCAGCGUGCAAAAUGUUACGCUAGCCAUUUACAACGGGCCGGCACGGAGUCGGGAACAUGGAUGUCUCUUGUUCGAGUUUAUUAAUUAGCCGCUGCAAAGAAAAUCCGCGGAAAGCGAAGCAUCGUUGUACAUACUGUUCGUUAGAUGUGUAUCCAUAUACACGUACUGGUGCAGCUUUAAUGUAUGUGUACGUAAUGUAUAAAAAAAAAGCAAAUAACAAGAUACGGCUAGUGUUGAAUCGUACGCUAUUCCGUGUAUAUGUACAUAUAUUUAUAUAUAUAUGUAUAUGAAUAGAGAAAGAAAAAGAGAACGUUAUUUUGUUGGACUCCUCGCAAUAUUGCGAUAAUAAAAUGCGCGCGCGUAGCGACGCACACGUCCGUACUUAAGCUUGUAAUUAAACAUAUCCGUGAACGAGUGCGCGUCGCGACACGCAUAAAUUCAUGACAUGAUGAGUAACGAUUGACAUUGUGUCAAUGCGUCGUAUCGUUCCAUGUCAUACGCGUAAGAGAAUCGAAGUCUUUCGGUGUCGUCAAAAAUUUUGAAGUUUGUUCUGCCUCUUUUACUUUUUAUCGCACACGGAAAUUACUGCCGUUACUGUAGAUUUCUUAUUCCAUGAUUUAUAGACGUAUGUAUAUUUUCGGCACAUUCUUGUGCAUAUUAGUUAGGUUGUGUAAGAAAACGAAGCGUACUUGAGAGGUGAUUUUUUUAAUUAGAUAAAAAAAGUUUCGAGAGAUCUUAUUUAUUUAUUAGAUUUAAAAGUUUUGUCUUGUUCAUUAGAUUUAUAACAAAUGAUAAAUGAAAGUACUGACGAAACCGACUUCGAUUUUACGUACGUGGCAAUAACUUGAGGUAAGGCUCUAUGGAGAAAUCGCUAUAAAUAUUGCGUAUAUUAUAGAACACAGAAUUAGCAAAUUUUUCGAAUGAAACGUUUUAUCGUCACAGAGAUAUUAUAUACAUAUAUCGAUAUAGAAGAUGUAUAGGAUAAUCUCACAAGUUUUGAGAUUGAACAUAUCCGUCCUGUAUUUAUUUAAUUCCCCUCAUUUUCAGUUCACAUUGCUGUUGAUCGCGCAACAAAUAUUUCAGAAUACUGAAUACAAUGAAUAACUAUCGCUUAUCUGCUUCUUACUGUCCUUUUGCGAUUCUAGCGUGAUCUAAUUGAACUAAAUCAAAAACUUACAUAUAGAAGGCUCAGAGAGAAGCCUGAAAUCCAAAAGGUUAGCUGCUACGCUCAAUUAAAGCUUAUUUUUAUUUAAUUUCUAGUGAAAGUUUUUCAAUCGUUAUACAAUUAUUAGUUGUAUAAGUCAGAAUGUUUCAUCUUAUCACUUUUAUUUUAUUUUGUUUGUUGCAGAGGUGCGAAUGUUGUGUAUUAUUGGCGGUAUAAGGUGUCAUAAAAUUAGCUUAAUUCUUUUGUAAGUAUCAAAUGUUAGUUACUGGCUACACGCCGGUUGCGUAAAAUUGUAAUUUUUCUUCCUGCAGCGGACGAGGGGCCAAAACGCGUGAUAGAAUUAAAAUAUAUUAAAAUCACACGGUUGUAUUAAGAAAAUUGUCGAAUCAGAAUCACGUGAAUAAAAUCCGCGGGUUUUAGUCUAAAGUUCGCACUUGGAUUGUUGACGUCGUUCUCAAUGAAUAAACGGCAAAGUGUGCUUUUCGGCUUCAAGCUUGGAAAACAAAGGCUAACUGUAACUCUGUUAUGCGUUAGACGCAGUUAUUCGCAUUACGAGUUUAUUCACGUGACUCGGUCAUUUUAUCAUCUAGAGUUCUCCUUAAAUUAAUACUGGCCUUUCCUUAUACGAUAUACGCGUAAUGCGAGACCAUGAUGCAAAUCUAACAAUAGAAAAGAGAAAGAAUAAAGCGGCGCCGGCAUCUACAGAGCGUGUAUGCAUUAUUACGCUUUAUACACAAACUACCUUUCAAUGGUUGGUAUAAGUAAGCGAUUAAUUAAACAGACAAUUCGACGAGUCGAGCGAGAACGCCGCGAUCGUUCGAGAUGACAAAGAAAUUUUAACAAUACUCGACCAAUACUAUUAAUUCUUAAGCUAAAGGUACACAAAAUGAAUUUUUCUUCCUGUCUUAAGUCUCCCUUUACUUCUCUCGAAUCAAUACGUCCGAUAUAUUAUUCGUAAUCUCGUUAAUCUCGAUUAUUGUAAAUCUUGGCGGACGAAGACGCGAGUCCGUGCCAUGCCAUUGACGUUGAUCGUUUCUAAAUGUGUCACAAAUCGCAAUGAUUGUACAUUCUCUAAUUUCAUUUUCCAACACAAUUUAAUACAAGAAUGUGUACAUAACCGGCAAUUCCAGCACCAUGUCCGUUCGAUGUGAUGUAAUGAAAUUGUAAACGUAACGAGAGAUAUAUUAAUAUAUUACACAGAGACACAUUGUGUGUGUGAUUAGCAUUGUACUCUGCGUAAAUCUACAGAGAAAUAAAUAUACUCGAUUACUUAAA